ACCUUUAUGUCUUACAAGAUUGAUUUUCUUUUACACAGUUUGUUAAUAUAAUCUAUUUUUUCUUGGCAAUUCUAUUGGUAAUAGGCCUGGUCUACUGGGAAUGAACAAAUAUGAGUUUGCAAAAACUUACUGUGUUGUCAGAGUUGUCCGUGAUUCUCAAGGGAAAUUUUAUCAGGAUUUCUCGAAGGGAAUUCGCUUGGAAGAGUUGAAUGUGUUACUUAGGCAAACUAUUAUGUUACUGUUAGUGAAGUUGAAGAACCUUUUGAGCUUUAGAAGAGCAUUAGCAGUUCUGUAAUCAAUGAUGGGUUGAUAAACAAGACUUAUUUUGAAGUGGACAUCAAAGCAAACUGGUUGCUGCCUGUGGCUGUUUGAGAGCAAUUUAGAAUGUACAAAAAUCAUUUUGGUAUAUUUUUUGUGAUGUACAAAAAUCCUUGUGAUGUAGGAAUGCGAACUUGUGUAUUUCCUUUGUGAUGUUCAUGAAAGUUGUGAUGUUUAUUAUGGAAUUUGUGAUCUCGGGAUGUAAUGAUGUUUAUGCAACUUGUUUAUUUUUUUUUUGAUGUAUAUGGAACUUGUGAUGUAGGAAUGGGAAGUUGUUUAA